rnacentral:pre_miRNA from 1 species
GUUAAUCUUCCUAAGUACUGGCUUCCAAAGGUGAGUAGAUGGCAUUCGAUACACUCUAGCACCAUUCGAAAUCAGUACUGAAGGCGAAGAUUUGUUCUGCGUGA